CUCCCCGUCUGUGCGCAGUGAACGCUGAGUGGAGUGCUAGCGGACCGGGCGUGGCUCUGAUCCUCCGGAGGCGGAGGAUGGCGCAUCCUGGAGAGCCCCGGGCACAGGAGUCUUUGUCUCCUCUCCCUUCAGCCUGCCCUGGUGGUGGUUUUCUUCUGUUUUCAGCCAGGUUUGGGGAGGAGUGAUCUUCGGAUGUUGACGUCGAAUUACAGUUUUGGCAAAGUGGUAGCUCAGCAUCUGGGGCAGAAUUGGCACUGAUAAGUACUGGCUCUCGGCCGGGGCUCACCUCUCCCACUGUCCCUGCCAGGCCACAGUGAACAACAAGCAAAGGGCAGGGUCGCCAGCACUGACAGUCACUGGCUGUGUCAUGCAGGCGAAUUCGGGAGCCCCUCUGUGCCACACUCUGAUGCUUUGUGUGUAAAGUGGUUGCAAUCGCAAACUGACCCUAAGAGGGUCCCAGGUGUGCUUAGAACAGUGCCUGGCUGUGGGAGAUACUGGAAGAUGCUGUCAUCUUACCAUUGUUGCUGUUGACUUGAAUCCAGGGUUAUUGUGGACGGUAGAUGGCUCAGAGACAGGCAUUUCCAAAAGCAUGGAAAUUCACAGACACGCACAGGUGGGCAUGAAAACAUGGAAAAUCACAGACGCGCAGGUGGGCAUGAAAACACGGAAAUUCCCGGACACGCGCAGGUGGGCAUGAAAACACAAAUUCACAGACACGCAAGUGGGCAUGAAAACACGGAAAUUCACAGAGACACAUGCAGGUAGGCAUGAAAACACGGAAAUUCACAGACACGUAGGUGGGCAUGAAAACACAAAUUCACAGAGGUGCGCAGGUGGGCGUGAAAACACGGAAAUUCACAGAGAUGCGCAGGUGGGCGUGAAAACACGGAAAUUCACAGACACGUAGGUGGACGUGAAAACACGGAAAUUCACAGACACGUAGGUGGGCGUGAAAACACGGAAAUUCACAGAGAUGCACAGGUGGGCGUGAAAACACGGAAAUUCACAGACGCGCAGGGUGGGCAUGAAAAUAUGGAAAUCCACAGAGACACAGGUGGGCAUGAAAACACAGAAAUUCACAGACGUGCAGGUGGGCAUGACUGUGGAAAUUAACAGACACACACAGGUGGGCAUGAAAACAAAUUCACAGACACGUAGGUGAGCAUGAAAACAUGGAAAUUCACAGAGACGUGCAGGUGGGCAUGAAAACACGGAAAUUCACAGACACGUAGGUGGGCAUGAAAACAUAGAAAUUCACAGAGGUGCGCAGGUGGGCAUGAAAACACGGAAAUUCACAGAGACGCGCAGGUGGGCGUGAAAACACGGAAAUUCACAGACACGUAGGUGGGCAUGAAAACACGGAAAUUCACAGAGGUGCGCAGGUGGGCAUGAAAAUACGGAAAUUCACAGACACGUAGGUGGGCAUGAAAACACAGAAAUUCACAGAGGUGCGCAGGUGGGCGUGAAAACACGGAAAUUCACAGAGACGCGCAGGUGGGCAUGAAAACACAGAAAUUCACAGAGACGCACAGGUUGGCAUGACCAGACUUGCAUGGGCAAGAUGUGGUGUUUCUUCCAGAUUACCGGGCAACAGAGCGGGGACCCUGUAGGGAGUCCCCACUGGGAGGGUCUUGGGCCCUAAAAAUUUUGUCAGAAUGUUUAUUUUCUUUAUGACCUAAGGAAGUUUUUAAAAAAAUCUGUCAUUUUCUAAACCCUUAGCCAUAUAAGGUGUCUGGGUAAGAGGCAGACAAUUUAGAAGCAUCAGUUUUACUCUAGAAUUCCACAUAUUGCACGGUGAAGUCUUUUCAAGCCUACUUGUUUUGGUUGUUCUAGGGAUGUUUGUUGAUACAAACAUAAUAAAGUGUUUCUUGUUCCGUGAGCGCUCACUCAGCCUCGCUGCAGUGUGGAUCCCUCGGUUAUGUGCACGGAUCUGACUCCAGCGUGAAAUCGUAGCAUUUUCUUCGACUGUGUGCGGGGCAGCCCUGCUGGCAUCACCGAUUUCCUGUCACCCUGCCGUGGGAGCUGAUGCUGAUUAUUACCGAAAUCACAGGAGAUACUGUGUCCAUCCCUCGAUCUUGUCACUUAAUACAUUAAUGAAAAAGCACUCAUCUUACUUUUGCAGUGCUUCCGUGAUUGUAUUUUCAGUGUGCUUUUCCGUCUGCAAUCCUGUGUCUUUUUUCAUCUUUAAAAACCUUGUUUUGAGAAGGUUUCGUGAGAAGGCCAGAGGACCUGGGGCUCAAACAAGGUUAAAGGACUCUUUUCUGGAGAGUUGGGGAAUCGGAUGUAGGGGACCGGGCACAGUUCGCGCUUUUGUUCUCUCCUCUGUGUCUGUCACUCUGCAUUUACUCUGCUCGUGCUCCUUAGGUGCCCAUGAUAUCCUAGGGCACGGAGGGUGGACAGGACCCACAUCUGUGGGCCGGGGGGCUUAGCUCUGUGGCAGGGGGGCGCUUUGAGAAGGAAAGUGACCCAACCAUCGAGGGAAAGAAAUGGGCUGGACCAGUGUGGGGAGGCCUUUAUGGAGAGCGGGGCAAGGGCUCUUGAGCAUCACAUCCAGAGGCUAAGGGAGGGGACCUGGAUGUGUUCGUGGAACUGAAGGACCACUUUUGCGACUAGACCUUAGCCAGGGAGAAGUUGGGUAGCAAUUAACUUUACUAAACAUUUAUUUUGUCCCUUCAGUGUGUAAGGACUUGGCACUGAGCUAAUUAUGAAAGCAUUGUCAUAACAAAGCUAAGGCGGUUGGAAUUACGAAUUGGGCACCUUCCUUCAGUUUCUGGACAACGAGUUGUGGUCGUGGUGACAAAUACAAAAUUUAGAACCUCCGGUUCCUGAGAGUAAGUUGAUGUGAUAGAGUCGUUAGGAACUGCUUUUCCCUAAUUUUCUCUAUGGCAGAUGAUGUGUGUUGUGGCUUUAAAAACCCUAAUGCUUCCACAACACCUUGGAAUUUUCAUACUUUAUAGAUGGUGAGUCUCAAUUUCUAUGCACAUCUCAUUGUUUGGUUUUGAUUAUUUAUUACAUGAGACUUGUAUAUAUUUUAGAUAAUUUAGGAGGACAAAUACAGAUGUUCCUGAACUUUCAACGGGGCUACGUCCCGGUAAACCCAUCGUUGAAAAUACCUUGAGUCGAAAAUGCAUUUAACACACCUACCGCACCGCACGUCAUAGUCCAGCCUCACCUUCCUUAACCAUGCCCAGAACACACAUCAGGCUGGGCACCCUGGCUCAUGCCUGUAAUCCCAACACUUUGGGAGGCCCAGGUGGGAGGAUCACUUGAGCCCAGGAGUUCAAGACCAGCUAGGGCCUGGGAGAUAGAGGCUGCAGUGAGCCAUGCUCAUGCCACUGCACUCCAGCCUGAAUGACAGAUGAGACCCUGUCUCAAAAAAAAAAAAAAAACACCA